UAAGGAAUAUUGGACAAUGGAGGCAACUCUGAUCCAGCCAUGCCGCGUGAAGGAAUAAGGCCCUAUGGGUUGUAAACUUCUUUUAGACGGGACAAAACCCCUUUACGUGUAAAGGGUUGAUGGUACUGUCAGAAUAAGCAUCGGCUAACUUCGUGCCAGCAGCCGCGGUAAUACGAAGGAUGCAAGCGUUAUCCGGAAUUAUUGGGUUUAAAGGGUGCGUAGGUGGGCAGAUAAGUCAGUGGUGAAAUCUUCCGGCUUAACCGGGAAACUGCCGUUGAUACUAUUUGUCUUGAAUAUUGCGGAGGUAAGCGGAAUAUGUCAUGUAGCGGUGAAAUGCUUAGAUAAGACAUAGAACACCAAUUGCGAAGGCAGCUUACUACACAAUCAUUGACACUGAGGCACGAAAGCGUGGGUAGCGAACA
rnacentral:rRNA from 1 species